CAGGCAGUUUAGUUCUCUUCCAUCAUUCGUGCGCUUCGGUUCGAGGUUCUACAAUUUUAAAUUCAACUUCUAUCAGCAGGGCUAGAAAAGUUUGUAGGAAAUCCCUACCCCAUCAACAUCAGUUGGAAGUGCAGUGCAAUCGGUUCUAUUAUCACUCAUAGGUAUAGCCAGCUCCGAGUAUUUGGUCGCGGUCGGUUUUAAAGAUAGAAGCGUUGUUUUGGUCGCGCGCCACACGAAGUUAUAUAAAGACUGCCUCUUACAUUUUGUGUCUACGGAUUGUGUCACCAGUGCUCUUGGUUGGCCGCAGUAUUCCUUCGGAGUUUGUCAGCGGAAGUUGUGCUUUUCUUUUCUGUGUCUAGUUCGUUCCCUUCGAAUCUUCCCUUCUUAUCAUGGCUGAUAAAGUGAAAGUGUGUAUCGUUGGAUCAGGAAACUGGGGCUCGGCCAUCGCCAAGAUCGUCGGCGUCAACGCCAAGCGGCUGCCGAACUUCGAGGACCGAGUCACCAUGUACGUGUUCGAAGAGAUGAUCGACGGCAAGAAGCUCACCGAAAUCAUCAACACCACACACGAGAACGUCAAGUACCUGCCUGGACACAAGCUGCCAGAGAAUGUCGUCGCCGUUCCGGACGUCGUGGAAGCUGCCAAGGAUGCCGACAUCCUCAUCUUCGUCGUGCCACAUCAGUUCAUCCGGGGUCUGGGAGCCCAGCUGCUUGGCAAAAUCAAAACCUCAGCCGUCGGUCUCUCGCUGAUCAAGGGCUUCGAUGUUGCCGAGGGCGGUGGCAUGGAACUGAUUUCCCACAUCAUCACCAAGCACCUGAAGAUCCCCUGCUCAGUGCUGAUGGGAGCCAAUCUGGCCGGUGAGGUCGCAGAGGAAAAGUUCUGCGAAACUACGAUCGGUUGCCGGGACAUGAAGAUCGCCCAAACGCUGCGGGAUCUGUUCCAGACGCCCAACUUCCGAGUGGUGGUGGUAGAUGACGUCGAUGCGGUGGAAAUUUGCGGUGCCCUGAAGAACAUCGUUGCAUGCGGGGCCGGGUUCGUGGACGGUAUGGGACUGGGCGACAACACCAAGGCGGCCGUCAUCCGGUUAGGGCUGAUGGAGAUGAUCAAGUUCGUGGACGUGUUCUACCCGGGUAGCAAGCUGUCGACGUUCUUCGAGAGCUGCGGCGUGGCCGAUCUGAUCACCACUUGCUACGGUGGCCGUAAUCGUAAGGUGUCGGAAGCAUUCGUGAAGACCGGAAAAUCGAUCAAGCAACUCGAAGAUGAGAUGCUGAACGGUCAGAAACUACAGGGCCCGAUCACUGCGGAGGAGGUUAACUUUAUGCUGAAGAACAAAGGCAUGGAAGACAAAUUCCCGCUGUUCACCGCGAUUCACAGAAUCUGCACCGCGCAAAUCAAGCCCCAGGGCUUCCUGGAUUGCUUACGUAACCACCCGGAGCACAUCUUCGAAGCCAAACACUUGAUGAAGUUUUGAAGACCCCGUGUGACUCUCUGUGCCGUGACUGAAGAAGACUUGCUUUAGGGCUUUUUCAAAAUUCCUGUAUCAUCCGCUGCUACCUGCAUGUGUAUUUGCAUUUGUGCGUUGCAUUUACGUAGCAGCAAUCUCUUCAAUCCGGAACCCGCCGAGAGGUUUGCUUCAGCAGUGUAGCUUCCUUUUUCCCGCAAAUUUGUGUUGCUCACAUUUUCCUGUACCCAGUCGCAAUCAAACAUCUACUACAUCCACCGUUUAUUUGUUUUAUAUUUGUUCUUUCUUUCUCCGUACACUUUUAGGAAACAACGGGCAAAACUCUAAAUCAAAUUCAAAACUAAAUAACUAAUCUAGUACUACAAGAUAAGAUUCGCUCCUUCCGGCACACACACUCGUAUACAUGCACGGUACUAUCAGAACAAGAACGCAUCAAGCGUGAAAGUGCGGCGUGUAUGCGUAAACGUGCAAUUCCAAAAACUCGCUCUAGCUCUAGUACUACUUUUCCAAUAACACGUAACUAAAGUCUGUUCGUUUUGAUUCAUUAAGUCUGUCGAAAUAUCAAGAUGCUAAGUAUUUCUAGUGUGUUUUAAAACCAGUUGAUCGUUCCUUUGUUGCCAUAAAAACUAGCUGUAGUAUGAGUGAGUAAGCGAGAGAGAACGAGGCCAUUGUCGGAUACGUGCUAGUACUGCAUUUAUAAAUAUAUGUACCAUACCUAAACAAUCGAUCAAAGAAGCCAUUCGUUCCACAUUUACUGCUACACACAUACAUACACUGAAAACCUUUCCACUGAAGAACGCUGCGCUAGCAGUCAGUGUGUGUUUUUUGUUAAGUUAGGUUAAAACUGCCUUUUAUCUUUUAUAACAAAAUAUAAAAACCAAAACAGUAAGCGCAUUGCAAAUGGUAAAUAAAAUUUGUCCAAAAAAUUAAACAAAAACCCACGACGAACCAGCGUGUUCUAGUGGGUGCGAUUGGUUUUUCAUUUAUUCGGUAGAGAAACGUACUUGUUUUGGGUUUUUGCGCGCUGAGACUCAUCGCCCAAAUCACGUUUUGACUAACACUAACCAACUGGGUCGUUGGGGAAAUGCGGUGUUGAUUUGAUUGAGGGAUUAUGCAAGCGAUUGGCGAUUCGCACUCGUAAGUAUGACUAUUGAGUUGGCUAUGUCGAAAAGGUCAUAUUAUUUCUGAAAACUUACAACCGUUCUUAAAAAUGUAAGAUUUUGUAAGAUUUUACUCUUACAGCUUAGUUUCUUUUUUCAAAAUUGCGAAUAUGAUCAGCUCCUAAUUGGUUCUGCUAUGGUGACCACAGUUUUGCCGAUGUUGAUAGCCGCAUUUUGUUCUCAUCACAACUUCCAGAAGAAAUCAAAAAUGAUGACAGGGUCCCAAAGUUCAGAUCAUUCGCUUUAUCAAUCGAAAUGAAUAUAUUUUGUGCUGGAAAACGUACAGGUAGAAGAAGCAAAAUGAUCAUCCUAUUGCAACUCUUUUUACAGGA